GCCCAGACUCCUACGGGAGGCAGCAGUGGGGGAUAUUGCACAAUGGGGGGAACCCUGAUGCAGCGACGCCGCGUGGGUGAAGGAGUAUUUCGGUAUGUAAAGCCCUAUCGGCAGGGAAGAAAAAAGACGGUACCUGACUAAGAAGCCCCGGCUAACUACGUGCCAGCAGCCGCGGGAAUACGUAGGGGGCAAGCGUUAUCCGGAUUUACUGGGUGUAAAGGGAGCGUAGACGGCAAUACAAGUCGGAAGUGAAAUACCCGGGCUCAACCUGGGAACUGCUUUGGAAACUGUAUGGCUGGAGUGCUGGAGAGGUAAGCGGAAUUCCUAGUGUAGCGGUGAAAUGCGUAGAUAUUAGGAGGGACACCAGUGGCGAAGGCGGCCUACUGGACAGUAACUGACGUUGAGGCUCGAAAGCGUGGGGAGCAAACAGGAUUAGAUACCCCCGUACC
rnacentral:rRNA from 1 species